rnacentral:rRNA from 1 species
AUUGAACGCUGGCGGCAGGCCUAACACAUGCAAGUCGAGCGGAUGAAGGGAGCUUGCUCCUGGAUUCAGCGGCGGACGGGUGAGUAAUGCCUAGGAAUCUGCCUGGUAGUGGGGGAUAACGUCCGGAAACGGGCGCUAAUACCGCAUACGUCCUGAGGGAGAAAGUGGGGGAUCUUCGGACCUCACGCUAUCAGAUGAGCCUAGGUCGGAUUAGCUAGUUGGUGGGGUAAAGGCCUACCAAGGCGACGAUCCGUAACUGGUCUGAGAGGAUGAUCAGUCACACGGGAACUGAGACACGGUACAGACUCCUACGGGAGGCAGCAGUGGGGAAUAUUGGACAAUGGGCGAAAGCCUGAUCCAGCCAAGCCGCGUGUGUGAAGAAGGUCUUCGGAUUGUAAAGCACUGUAAGUUGGGAGGAAGGGCAGUAAGUUAAUACCUUGCUGUUUUGACGGUACCAACAGAAUAAGCACCGGCUAACUUCGUG